AAGAGAGUGGAGGUCUGAGGGGAGGCUGUUCCUAAACUGGGAGAGGAAAGAGAGUGGAGGUCUGAGGGGAGGCUGUUCCUAAACUGGGAGAGGAAAGAGAGUGGAGGUCUGAGGGGAGGCUGUUCCUAAACUGGGAGAGGAAAGAGAGUGGAGGUCUGAGGGGAGGCUGUUCCUAAACUGGGAGAGGAAAGAGAGUGGAGGUCUGAGGGGAGGCUGUUCCUAAACUGGGAGAGGAAAGAGAGUGGAGGUCUGAGGGGAGGCUGUUCCUAAGCUGGGAGAGGAAAGAGAGUGGAGGUCUGAGGGGAGGCUGUUCCUAAACUGGGAGAGGAAAGAGAGUGGAGGUCUGAGGGGAGGCUGUUCC